rnacentral:rRNA from 2 species
AUUAGAGUUUGAUCCUGGCUCAGAUUGAACGCUGGCGGCAGGCCUAACACAUGCAAGUCGAGCGCGAAAGUUUCUUCGGAAGCGAGUAGAGCGGCGGACGGGUGAGUAACGCGUAGGAAUCUACCCAGUAGUGGGGGACAACUCGGGGAAACCCGAGCUAAUACCGCAUACGCCCUAAGGGGGAAAGCAGGGGAUCUUCGGACCUUGCGCUAUCGGAUGAGCCUGCGUCGGAUUAGCUUGUUGGUGAGGUAAUGGCUCACCAAGGCGACGAUCCGUAGCUGGUCUGAGAGGAUGAUCAGCCACACUGGGACUGAGACACGGCCCAGACUCCUACGGGAGGCAGCAGUGGGGAAUAUUGGACAAUGGGGGAAACCCUGAUCCAGCCAUGCCGCGUGUGUGAAGAAGGCUCUAGGGUUGUAAAGCACUUUCAGUAGGGAGGAAAAGUUGAUAGCUAAUAACUGUCAGCCCUGACGUUACCUACAGAANAAGCACCGGCAAACUCCGUGCCANCAGCCGC